UACGUAGGGUGCAAGCGUUGUCCGGAAUUAUUGGGCGUAAAGAGCUCGUAGGCGGUUUGUCGCGUCUGCUGUGAAAACCCGAGGCUCAACCUCGGGCCUGCAGUGGGUACGGGCAGACUAGAGUGCGGUAGGGGAGAUUGGAAUUCCGGGUGGAGUGGUGAAAUGCGUAGAGAUCCGGAGGAACACCAAAGGCGAAGGCAGUGUCCUGGGGAGUACCUGACGCUCGAGGUGCGAAAGCCAGGGGAGCGAACGGG
rnacentral:rRNA from 1 species